GGAUCAUUAUCGAACCCUCAUACCACACACACACACACACUUGUGCACACGUUUGUUUGUAGGUCCUCGAGAGAGGCAUCUAUGUACAUAUAUAUCUUCACCAUCCCAACCAACGUAUGUCUAGAAUGUCAAUGAAUAAUUUUUACAACUUUCAGCAAUGGAUCUCUUGGCUCUCGCAUCGAUGAAGAACGCAGCGAAUCGCGAUAAGUAAUGUGAAUUGCAGAUUUUCAGUGAAUCAUCGAAUCUUUGAACGCACCUUGCGCUCCUUGGUAUUCCGAGGAGCAUGCCUGUUUGAGUGUCAUUUCAAUUUCAUCAACCAUGCCUCGAUCGACUUCGAGAACAUGGCUUGGAUUUGGGGGCUUGCUGGCGUCGUCGUCAGCUCUCCUGAAAUGCAUUAGCGAUAGUCGAGCAAUGGGUCCCUACAUGCACGGCCUUUCUUUCGACGUGAUAACGAUCGUCGUGAAGGGGGGGGGGGCUGGAGUGUUUGGAUCACAAAUUUUCGCUUCCAAUCCCCUGGUCGUGUGUCGUGUUGUCGUUGUCGUUGUUGUUGUUGUGUUUACAACUCGUCGUGAUCACGCACGCACGCGCGCACACACACACACACGCCUUCGAACCAUUGACCUCAAAUCAGGUAGGACUACCCGCCGAACUUAAGCAUAUCAAUAAGCGGAGGAAAAGAAACUAACAAGGAUUCCCCUAGUAACUGCGAGUGAAGCGGGAAAAGCUCAAAUUUUGAAUCUGGCGGUCCUCGAGGCCGUCCGAGUUGUAAUCUAGAGAAGUGUCUUCCAGUGCCAUGCCGUGUACAAGUCUCCUGGAAGGGAGCAUCAUAGAGGGUGAGAAUCCCGUCUGUCGACACGGAACGUUGCGUACUUUGCGAUGCACUCUCGACGAGUCGAGUUGUUUGGGAAUGCAGCUCUAAACGGGUGGUAAAUUCCAUCUAAAGCUAAAUACGGGCGAGAGACCGAUAGCGAACAAGUACCGUGAGGGAAAGAUGAAAAGGACUUUGAAAAGAGAGUUAAACAGUACGUGAAAUUGCUGAAAGGGAAACGCUUGAUGUCAGUCGCGUCGGUCGGGAAUCAACCUUGCUCCUUUGCGUGCUUGGUGGACUUUCCGGUCGACGGGUCAGCAUCAGUUUCGAUCCCGUCGUACAAAGGCGAGAGUGAAUGUGGCACGCUUAGGUGUGUGUUUAUAGCCUCUCCGUCUCAUGCGGCGGUCGGGACUGAGGAACUCAGCAUGUGCGUGCGCAUGC
rnacentral:rRNA from 1 species